GACAGAGGUUGCAAACGUUGUUCGGAAUUACUGGGCAUAAAGCGCACGUAGGCGGUCCGUUAAGUCAUGUGUGAAAUCCCCCGGCUCAACCGGGGAAUUGCGCCUGAUACUGGCGGGCUAGAGGUCGAUAGGGGUGAGCGGAACUCCAGGUGGAGUGGUGAAAUGCGUAGAUAUCUGGAGGAACACCGGUGGCGAAAGCGGCUCACUGGAUCGAAACUGACGCUGAGGUGCGAAAGCUAGGGUAGCAAACGGG
rnacentral:rRNA from 1 species